UACGGAGGGUGCGAGCGUUGUCCGGAAUCACUGGGCGUAAAGGGCGCGUAGGCGGCCCGCGCAAGCGUGCGGUGAAAGCCCGGGGCUCAACCCCGGGUCGGCCGUGCGGACUGCGGGGCUCGAGCACUGUAGGGGCAGAUGGAAUUCCGGGUGUAGCGGUGGAAUGCGUAGAGAUCGGGAGGAACACCGGUGGCGAAGGCGGUCUUCUGGACGGUGACUGACGCUGAGGCGCGAAAGCGUGGGGAGCAAACGGG
rnacentral:rRNA from 1 species